AUAACAAUGGAGAGUUUGAUCCUGGCUCAGGAUGAACGCUAGCGAUAGGCUUAACACAUGCAAGUCGAGGGGCAUCGGGUAAGUAGCUUGCUACUUAUGCCGGCGACCGGCGCACGGGUGCGUAACGCGUAUGCAACCUACCUGUCAGACUGGGAUAACCCGGUGAAAGCCGGACUAAUACUGGAUAUACUUAUUCUUCUGCAUGGGGGGAUAAGGAAAGAUUUAUUACUGACAGAUGGGCAUGCGUUCCAUUAGCUAGUUGGUGAGGUAACGGCUCACCAAGGCGACGAUGGAUAGGGGAACUGAGAGGUUUAUCCCCCACACUGGUACUGAGACACGGACCAGACUCCUACGGGAGGCAGCAGUGAGGAAUAUUGGUCAAUGGGCGAGAGCCUGAACCAGCCAAGUCGCGUGAGGGCAGACGGUCCUAAGGAUUGUAAACCUCUUUUUCAGGGGAGUAAAAUUAGAUACGCGUAUUUAAUUGCAAGUACCCUGCGAAUAAGCAUCGGCUAACUCCGUGCCAGCAGCCGCGGUAAUACGGAGGAUGCGAGCGUUAUCCGGAUUUAUUGGGUUUAAAGGGUGCGUAGGUUGUUUUGUAAGUCAGUGGUGAAACCUGGGGGCUCAACCCCUAGCAUGCCGUUGAAACUGCAGAGCUAGAGAUUAGAAUAGGUAGGCGGAAUGUAUGGUGUAGCGGUGAAAUGCAUAGAUAUCAUACAGAACCCCGAUUGCGAAGGCAGCUUACCGGGCUAUAUCUGACACUGAAGCACGAAAGCGUGGGUAUCAAACAGGAUUAGAUACCCUGGUAGUCCACGCCGUAAACGAUGAUUACUCGGAGUAUGCGAUAUGAGUGUAUGCUUCUUAGCGAAAGCGUUAAGUAAUCCACCUGGGGAGUACGUCGGCAACGAUGAAACUCAAAGGAAUUGACGGGGGCCCGCACAAGCGGAGGAACAUGUGGUUUAAUUCGAUGAUACGCGAGGAACCUUACCCGGGAUUGAAAUAUAGAUGACAGGCAGCGAGAGUUGUUAUCCCUUCGGGGCAUCUAUGUAGGUGCUGCAUGGUUGUCGUCAGCUCGUGCCGUGAGGUGUCGGCUUAAGUGCCCUAACGAGCGCAACCCACAUUAUUAGUUACUAACAGGUUAAGCUGAGGACUCUAAUAAGACUGCCGGCGUAAGCCGUGAGGAAGGUGUGGAUGACGUCAAAUCAGCACGGCCCUUACAUCCGGGGCGACACACGUGUUACAAUGGUAGGGACAAAGGGCAGCUACCGGGCGACCGGAUGCGAAUCUCCAAACCCUAUCCCAGUUCGGAUCGGAGUCUGCAACUCGACUCUGUGAAGCUGGAUUCGCUAGUAAUCGCGCAUCAGCCAUGGCGCGGUGAAUACGUUCCCGGGCCUUGUACACACCGCCCGUCAAGCCAUGGGAGUCGGGGGUACCUGAAGUACGUAACCGCGAGGGGCGUCCUAGGGUAAUACCGGUGACUGGGGCUAAGUCGUAACAAGGUAGCCGUACCGGAAGGUGCGGCUGGAACACCUCCUUUCUGGA
rnacentral:rRNA from 1 species